rnacentral:rRNA from 1 species
AGAGUUUGAUCAUGGCUCAGGAUGAACGCUAGCGGCAGGCUUAAUACAUGCAAGUCGUGGGGCAGCAGGGGUAGCAAUACUCGCUGGCGACCGGCAAACGGGUGCGGAACACGUACGCAACCUUCCUUCAAGUGGGGAAUAGCCCAGGGAAACUUGGAUUAAUACCCCGUAAUAUUAUGAGGUGGCAUCAUCUUAUAAUUAUAGCUACGGCGCUUGGAGAUGGGCGUGCGGCUGAUUAGGUAGUUGGCGGGGUAACGGCCCACCAAGCCAACGAUCAGUAACUGGUGUGAGAGCACGACCAGUCACACGGGCACUGAGACACGGGCCCGACUCCUACGGGAGGCAGCAGUAAGGAAUAUUGGUCAAUGGACGCAAGUCUGAACCAGCCAUGCCGCGUGGAGGACGAAGGCCCUCUGGGUUGUAAACUUCUUUUAUUUGGGAAGAAACCCAUUUUUUCUAAGAUGGUUGACGGUACCAGAUGAAUAAGCACCGGCUAACUCCGUGCCAGCAGCCGCGGUAAUACGGAGGGUGCAAGCGUUAUCCGGAUUCACUGGGUUUAAAGGGUGCGUAGGUGGGCAGGUAAGUCAGUGGUGAAAUCUCUGGGCUUAACCCGGAAACUGCCGUUGAUACUAUCUGUCUUGAAUAUCGUGGAGGUGAGCGGAAUAUGUCAUGUAGCGGUGAAAUGCUUAGAUAUGACAUAGAACACCAAUUGCGAAGGCAGCUCGCUACACGGUUAUUGACACUGAGGCACGAAAGCGUGGGGAUCAAACAGGAUUAGAUACCCUAGUAGUCC